GUCCAGGGUAGCCUAGUGGACAUGGCAUCUGCCCGGUAAGCGGAACAUUGUGGGUUCGAUUUCCAUCCCUGUACA
rnacentral:tRNA from 1 species